GAUGAACGCUAGCUACAGGCUUAACACAUGCAAGUCGAGGGGCAGCGGUAUCGAAAUCUUGCUUUCGGUAGCCGGCCACCGGCGCACGGGUGAGUAACGCGUAUCGCACCUGCCUCAUACUUGGCAAUAGCCUUGCGAAAGUAAUAUUAAUGCCUGUUGUUUUCAGAGUCCCGCAUGAGUCUUUGAACGAAGUUUUAUCGCUAUGAGAUGGCGAUGCGUUCCAUUAGCUUGUUGGCGAGGUAACGGCCAACCAAGGCAUUGAUGGGUAGGGGUUCUGAGAGGAAGGUCCACCAGAUUGGAACUGAGACACGGUCCACACUCGUACGGGAGGCAGCAGUGAGGAAUAUUGGUCGAUGGGCGGAAGCCUGACCAAGCCAAGUAGCGUGCAGGAAGACGGCGCUCCGGGUUGUAAACUGCUUUUAGUUGGGAAUAAAACGGGGCUCGUGAGCCAUCUUGCAUGUACCAAAAGAAAAAGGACCGGCUAAUUACGUG
rnacentral:rRNA from 1 species